GUGGUGUCAAUUGAAGUUGUAGAAGCAGAAUCUUCAGUGGUUUCAGUUGGACUUGUAAAUAUAGGUUCUUCAGUGGUUUCAGUUAGAGUUGUAGAAGCAGAAUCUUCAGUGGUGUCAGUUGAAGUUGUAGAUGUAGGUUCUUCAGUGGUUUCAGUUGAAGUUGUAGAAGCAGAAUCUUCAGUGGUUUCAGACGGAGUUGUAGAUGUAGGUUCUUCAGUGGUGUCAGUUGAAGUUGUAGAAGCAGAAUCUUCAGUGGUGUCAGUUGAAGUUGUAGAAGCAAAAUCUUCAGUGGUUUCAGUUGGAGUUGUAGAUGUAGGUUCUUCAGUGGUCUCAGUUGAAGUUGUAGAUGUGGGUUCUUCAGUGGUCUCAGUUGAAGUUGUAGAAGCAGAAUAUUCAGUGGUUUCAGUUGGAGUUGUAGAUGUAGGUUCUUCAGUGGUGUCAGUUGAAGUUGUAGAAGCAGAAUCUUCAGUGGUGUCAGUUGAAGUUGUUGAAGCAGAAUCUCUAGUGGUUUCAAUUGGAGUUGGAGAUGUAGGUUCUUCAGUGGUUUCAGUUAGAGUUGUAGAUGUAGGUUCUUCAGUGGUCUCAGUUGAAGUUGUAGAAGCAGAAUCUUCAGUGGUUUCAGUUGGAGUUGUAGAUGUAGGUUCUUCAGUGGUCUCAGUUGAAGUUGUAGAAGCAGAAUCUUCAGUGGUUUCAGUUGGAGUUGUAGAUGUAGGUUCUUCAGUGGUGUCAGUUGAAGUUGUAGAAGCAGAAUCUUCAGUGGUGUCAGUUGAAGUUGUAGAAGCAGAAUCUUCAGUGGUUUCAGUUGGAGUUGUAGAUGUAGGUUCUUCAGUGGUGUCAGUUGAAGUUGUAGAAGCAGAAUCUUCAGUGGUGUCAGUUGAAGUUGUUGAAGCAGAAUCUCUAGUGGUUUCAGUUGGAGUUGGAGAUGUAGGUUCUUCAGUGGUUUCAGUUAGAGUUGUAGAUGUAGGUUCUUCAGUGGUUUCAGUUGUAGAUGUAGGUUCUUCAGUGGUGUCAGUUGAAGUUGUAGAAGCAGAAUCUUCAGUGGUGUCAGUUAAAGUUGUAGAAGCAGAAUCUUCAGUGGUUUCAGUUGUAGAUGUAGGUUCUUCAGUGGUGUCAGUUGAAGUUGUAGAAGCAGAAUCUUCAGUGGUUUCAGUUAGAGUUGUAGAUGUAGGUUCUUCAGUGGUGUCAGUUGAAGUUGUAGAAGCAGAAUCUUCAGUGGUGUCAGUUGAAGUUGUAGAAGCAGAAUCUUCAGUGGUUUCAGUUGGAGUUGUAGAUGUAGGUUCUUCAGUGGUGUCAGUUGAAGUUGUAGAAGCAGAAUCUUCAGUGGUGUCAGUUAAAGUUGUAGAAGCAGAAUCUUCAGUGGUUUCAGUUGUAGAUGUAGGUUCUUCAGUGGUGUCAGUUGAAGUUGUAGAAGCAGAAUCUUCAGUGGUGUCAGUUAAAGUUGUAGAAGCAGAAUCUUCACUGGUUUCAGUUGUAGAUGUAGGUUCUUCAGUGGUGUCAGUUGAAGUUGUAGAAGCAGAAUCUUCAGUGGUGUCAGUUGAAGUUGUAGAAGCAGAAUCUUCAGUGGUUUCAGUUGGAGUUGUAGAUGUAGGUUCUUCAGUGGUGUCAGUUGAAGUUGUAGAAGCAGAAUCUUCAGUGGUGUCAGUUGAAGUUGUAGAAGCAGAAUCUUCAGUGGUUUCAGUUAGAGUUGUAGAUGUAGGUUCUUCAGUGGUGUCAGUUGAAGUUGUAGAAGCAGAAUCUUUAGUGGUUUCAGUUGUAGAUGUAGGUUCUUCAGUGGUGUCAGUUGAAGUUGUAGAAGCAGAAUCUUCAGUGGUUUCAGUUGUAGAUGUAGGUUCUUCAGUGGUUUCAGUUGUAGAUGUAGGUUCUUCAGUGGUGUCAGUUGAAGUUGUAGAAGCAGAAUCUCCGGAUGUGGUUGUUUCAGAUGGAGUUGUAGAUAUAGGUUCUUGA
rnacentral:lncRNA from 1 species